rnacentral:rRNA from 1 species
GACGAACGCUGGCGGCGUGCUUAACACAUGCAAGUCGAGCGGUAAGGCCUUUCGGGGUACACGAGCGGCGAACGGGUGCGUGACACGUGGGUGAUCUGCCCUGCACUUCGGGUUAAGCCUGGGUAACUGGGUCUAAUACUGGAUAUGACCUCCUAUCGCAUGGUGGGUGGUGGAAAGAUUUAUCGGUGCAGGAUGGGCCCGCGGCCUAUCAGCUUGUUGGUGGGGUAAUGGCCUACCAAGGCGACGACGGGUAGCCGACCUGAGAGGGUGACCGGCCACACUGGGACUGAGAUACGGCCCAGACUCCUACGGGAGGCAGCAGUGGGGAAUAUUGCACAAUGGGCGGAAGCCUGAUGCAGCGACGCCGCGUGAGGGAUGACGGCCUUCGGGUUGUAAACCUCUUUCAGCAGGGACGAAGCGCAAGUGACGGUACCUGCAGAAGAAGCACCGGCUAACUACGUG